rnacentral:rRNA from 1 species
GUUUGAUCCUGGCUCAGAACGAACGCUGGCGGCAGGCCUAACACAUGCAAGUCGAGCGCGCCCUUCGGGGUGAGCGGCGGACGGGUUAGUAACGCGUGGGAAUGUACCCUUCUCUACGGAAUAGCCUUUGGAAACGAAGAGUAAUACCGUAUACGCCCUUCGGGGGAAAGAUUUAUCGGAGAAGGAUCAGCCCGCGUUAGAUUAGAUAGUUGGUGGGGUAAUGGCCUACCAAGUCUACGAUCUAUAGCUGGUUUUAGAGGAUGAUCAGCAACACUGGGACUGAGACACGGCCCAGACUCCUACGGGAGGCAGCAGUGGGGAAUCUUAGACAAUGGGCGCAAGCCUGAUCUAGCGAUGCCGCGUGUGUGAUGAAGGUCUUAGGAUCGUAAAGCACUUUCACCAGGGAUGAUAAUGACAGUACCUGGAAAAGAAACCCCGGCUAACUCCGUGCCAGCAGCCGCGGUAAUAAGG